GGGAUAUGAUGAGUGGUUAAAACUCGCUUGUUUACUGCGAGAGGAGUGUCCGCCCCAAGCCUGGUUACGACAAGCGGAGCACUCCGAUAUAUACCAAUCUGAUCCC
rnacentral:snoRNA from 1 species